ensembl:lncRNA
GUGAAAGCUCAGGUGGCUGCAAACAUGUCCGGCAAACGUGUUUUUGCCAGUCCAAAUUCGAAGGCAGAAGCAGGAGGAGUUACCAGGAUGAUGUUGGCCCCAGGUCGAAGCAGAGACUUGCUGGAUCUGGACAGUUUGGAAAAGAACGCCGGCAGGCUGGCUGCAGCGGUCAGCAGCAAACACACAGACUAUGAUGAAACCAGGGAAUAUAUGAGCUCUGAAAUUUAUCCAGUUGCUCCUCCAGAGAAGAGACCCUGCAGCUCGUCUCUUCCAGCCAAGAGCCGAACCACCUGAUGAUCAUACCGAGAUUUUAUUUCUUCCUCAUAAUGAGUCAGGAGCCGCCAUCUGUUGACUCAUCGGAAGCAGACAGGCUGCUUCCACAUUCAGAUGCUUCUGGGGCUUUUUCAUCUUAAAUUAGAUUUUUACAUGC